GCCUCCGUGGUGGAAUGGUAGACACUGUGGAUUUAAAAUCCAUUGCCCUCACAGGCGUGCCGGUUCGAGUCCGGCCGGAGGUA
rnacentral:tRNA from 1 species